UGCCUUGAGGCGUGGCUUCCGGAGCUAACGCGUUAAGUCGACCGCCUGGGGAGUACGGCCGCAAGGUUAAAACUCAAAUGAAUUGACGGGGGCCCGCACAAGCGGUGGAGCAUGUGGUUUAAUUCGAUGCAACGCGAAGAACCUUACCUGGUCUUGACAUCCACAGAACUUGGCAGAGAUGCCUUGGUGCCUUCGGGAACUGUGAGACAGGUGCUGCAUGGCUGUCGUCAGCUCGUGUUGUGAAAUGUUGGGUUAAGUCCCGCAACGAGCGCAACCCUUAUCCUUUGUUGCCAGCGGUUAGGCCGGGAACUCAAAGGAGACUGCCAGUGAUAAACUGGAGGAAGGUGGGGAUGACGUCAAGUCAUCAUGGCCCUUACGACCAGGGCUACACACGUGCUACAAUGGCGCAUACAAAGAGAAGCAAUCUCGCGAGAGCUAGCGGACCUCAUAAAGUGCGUCGUAGUCCGGAUUGGAGUCUGCAACUCGACUCCAUGAAGUCGGAAUCGCUAGUAAUCGUGAAUCAGAAUGUCACGGUGAAUACGUUCCCGGGCCUUGUACUCCCCGCCCGUCA
rnacentral:rRNA from 1 species